CCGCCAUUUUAGAAGGACGAGGCGGAGGCGAGCGGGAAGGAAGGAAGGAAGCAAAGCAGGCCGGGAAGAGGUGAGACGUGGAGCCGCUCAGUGUUUUUAUGAGAGACUAGCCAUCCCCUGCCAGGUGUUGCUGUGGCCCAGUCUGGUGAUCUGGAAAAUAAAGGAAAUGAGGACUCUUUGGAGCGACCUCUUGGAUGCAGUAAGGAAACCAAUAAUAUUGGAAGAAGAAAUCCUGUCAAGGUGAUCAUCCUGCUGCAUUCUGAACUUCACUUACAGAUAAUAAAGGAAUAAAGAAGAGUCAAGUCUCUGUAUUGCAAUUACAGACUGCUCUGACUCCCUUUCAGGGUGUGAAGAGGGUAUAAAAACAGUGAAUAUUAAAUUAAACACCCAUAUCACUGUUGACAUGGAGGAGAAAGCAUUUAAAUGCCUGGAGUGUGGAAAGAGUUUCAA